rnacentral:lncRNA from 10 species
UGGUGGCCAGAUUUUCACACCCUAUGCAAAUGGCACACCUAGCCUUAACCAGUGUUUUGCGCUUUAUGCAAAUGACACACCUAGUCCAACCAGUCUUUUGUGCUAUAUGUAAAUCAGACACUGCUUCCUCAAACUCAUCCAAAAAACGCUUUGCAUUCCAUCGCAGAACUGGCAACCCAUUUCUCCAAGACCCCUUUCUCUGCAGCAGAGAAAGCCCUUCUCUUUAUUUAGCCUAUUAAACCUUCCCUCUUAACCUCACUCUUUGUGUGUCCAAGUCCUUGAUUUCCUUGGCAUGAGACAAAAAACCUCGAGUAUCACCCCAGUUAAACACUGCCACUUCACUGGGAUUACAGGUGUGAGCCACCACACCCAGCCUCAGCUCUCCUUUUAGGCAAUGUCCUUCCAUAGCAUGACAUAACGUAUCUUUUAUAGGCCAAGAUGCUCCUUGAAGUAUUUUCACCCUACCUAGAUUCAGUCAGCAACAUUCACUAAUUAAGAGAAAGCAGAGACUUCUGAGUAUAUACUUAACAGUAUCGAAAGUGGUGACUCAGACAUAUAUUUGCACACAAAUGUUUAUAAAAGGAUUAUUCACAACAGUCAAAAAAGCAUAAAUGGCCCAAAUGGAUGAAUGGACGAACAAAAUGUGGUUUAUACUGUGCAUACAAUGGAAUAUUAUUAAGUCUUUAAAAUGAAAGAAAUUUUGACACAGGCCACAAAAUGGGUGAACCUUGAGGACAUUAUACUAAGUAAACCAGACACAAAAGGACAAACACUGUAUAACUCCAUUUAUACCUCAUACCUACAGUAGUCAAAUUCAUUGAGAUGAAAAGAAGAAUGAUGGUUGCCAGGGUCUCGGGAGAGGGAGAAAUGAUGAAUGCAGAAUUUCAAUUUUGGAAGAUGAAAAAUUUCUGAAGACAGAUGGCGGUGACGAAUGCACAAUUAAUCUACAGACAGCUUACAACAGUGCUGCACACGAUUAAUCUGACUUCACAGUGAGACGCUGAGAAAGGUGAAGUAAGUGGACUGAGAGCCACAGCUCCCAAGGGCAGUGCUUGGAUAGGAACUCAGAUCUUUACCUUCAAAGGUAAGCUACAAAUUCAAAAACUAAUAACCACAGACUAUUUUCAGUAGUAACUGAAACUAAUUCAGCAAAUACUAACUGAGUGUCUAUUGUGUAUUGACCACCUAACAAAUAGUGAAUUUUGGAAAUAUGUCAGACCUAGAUAAACUCUGAUAAUCUUGACAACUCUUCAGUCUCCAUUUACUUCAGAGGCAAUUAGAAAGAAAGAAACAGGCCUGCCUUCACUUCUCAACCAUCAGAGGCCUGUACAGACCCUUCCAGUUACUUUCCUUCCUUAUAUCAUCUGGGAAUGUAUUAAACCUGCAUUCUGGGCCUAUGGCUUUCAUACAUUCGGUCACAAAUAGAAAGCAAUGUUAAGUCCUGGGUUGCUACCUGUAAUGGCAGUCCUAUCCAGCCCCUCUCUGUCUGAUGCUAAGGCUCAAUGAAAUCAAGGCCAGACAGAAUUGAGGACCAGUCCAAAGUUAUUCUCUACUCCAUCAUUUAUUCUAAGCUGCCAGUGAUCUUUAUAAUUGGUAGCUAAUUUCUUAAUGGCAUAUCCAGUUUCUUGCUGAUAAACAAAACAGUGGCAAGGAAAACAGCAAAUAUGGACAGAUUUAGGAUUUU